UACGAAGGGGGCUAGCGUUACUCGGAUUGACUGGGCGUAAAGGGCGCGUAGGCGGUUCGUACAGUCAGACGUGAAAUUCCUGGGCUCAACCUGGGGGCUGCGUUUGAUACGUGCGGGCUUGAGUUCGGAAGAGGGUCGUGGAAUUCCCAGUGUAGAGGUGAAAUUCGUAGAUAUCGGGAAGAACACCCGUGGCGAAGGCGGCUCUCUGGGACGGUACUGACGCUGAGACGCGAAAGCGUGGGGAGCGAACAGG
rnacentral:rRNA from 1 species